GACGAACGCUGGCGGCGUGCUUAACACAUGCAAGUCGAACGGAAAGGCCCUGCUUUUGUGGGGUGCUCGAGUGGCGAACGGGUGAGUAACACGUGAGUAACCUGCCCUUGACUUUGGGAUAACUUCAGGAAACUGGGGCUAAUACCGGAUAGGAGCUCCUGCUGCAUGGUGGGGGUUGGAAAGUUUCGGCGGUUGGGGAUGGACUCGCGGCUUAUCAGCUUGUUGGUGGGGUAGUGGCUUACCAAGGCUUUGACGGGUAGCCGGCCUGAGAGGGUGACCGGCCACAUUGGGACUGAGAUACGGCCCAGACUCCUACGGGAGGCAGCAGUGGGGAAUAUUGCACAAUGGGCGGAAGCCUGAUGCAGCGACGCCGCGUGCGGGAUGACGGCCUUCGGGUUGUAAACCGCUUUCGCCUGUGACGAAGCGUGAGUGACGGUAAUGGGUAAAGAAGCACCGGCUAACUACGUGCCAGCAGCCGCGGUGAUACGUAGGGUGCGAGCGUUGUCCGGAUUUAUUGGGCGUAAAGGGCUCGUAGGUGGUUGAUCGCGUCGGAAGUGUAAUCUUGGGGCUUAACCCUGAGCGUGCUUUCGAUACGGGUUGACUUGAGGAAGGUAGGGGAGAAUGGAAUUCCUGGUGGAGCGGUGGAAUGCGCAGAUAUCAGGAGGAACACCAGUGGCGAGGGCGGUUCUCUGGGUCUUUCCUGACGCUGAGGAGCGAAAGCGUGGGGAGCGAACAGGCUUAGAUACCCUGGUAGUCCACGCUGUAAACGGUGGGUACUAGGUGUGGGGUCCAUUCCACGGGUUCCGUGCCGUAGCUAACGCUUUAAGUACCCCGCCUGGGGAGUACGGCCGCAAGGCUAAAACUCAAAGGAAUUGACGGGGCCCCGCACAAGCGGCGGAGCAUGCGGAUUAAUUCGAUGCAACGCGUAGAACCUUACCUGGGUUUGACAUGGAUCGGGAGCGCUCAGAGAUGGGUGUGCCUCUUUUGGGGUCGGUUCACAGGUGGUGCAUGGCUGUCGUCAGCUCGUGUCGUGAGAUGUUGGGUUAAGUCCCGCAACGAGCGCAACCCUUGUUCACUGUUGCCAGCACGUUAUGGUGGGGACUCAGUGGAGACCGCCGGGGUCAACUCGGAGGAAGGUGGGGAUGACGUCAAGUCAUCAUGCCCCUUAUGUCCAGGGCUUCACGCAUGCUACAAUGGCUGGUACAGAGAGUGGCGAGCCUGUGAGGGUGAGCGAAUCUCGGAAAGCCGGUCUCAGUUCGGAUUGGGGUCUGCAACUCGACCUCAUGAAGUCGGAGUCGCUAGUAAUCGCAGAUCAGCAACGCUGCGGUGAAUACGUUCCCGGGGCU
rnacentral:rRNA from 1 species